rnacentral:lncRNA from 1 species
CGGAAUCGAAAUCAUAAAGAAGAGAUUGAUGGAUCGAGAAGUAAUGGAGUAUUGAUUGUGGAGAUGAAAACAGAGAGAAGUGAAACGAUAGAGAAGAACUCGUGAAGACGAAGAGAUCGAGGAGAGUAGCGUUGUUCAUCGUGUUGUCCGUAUUGGGAUUUUUUUUUUUAAUUGAACCAGAUAGCUUAGCCCAUUGCUAGAUGAAGCCCAUCCGAACAGAUCAUAGCCCAUAUGAAAUCAACAUUUUAC